AAGCAAAGGUUUUUUGGUUUUGUUUUCUGUAACAAGUUUGCAGAGAACGAUACUAAAGCAGGCACCUAGCUU
ensembl:miRNA